ensembl:lncRNA
CAAAUCUGAAAUCAAGCUCCUCUGAUUAAAGACAAUGUGCACAGCUGUUUUAUAUCCCUUCCAUAUCCUUUUGUUCUCUGAAUGCAAAAAGAUCCUUAUGCACACCCUUUAGCGUUAUGAAAAGUUAUUAUUUUUGAAUAAAUCCUGCCAUCUCUCUCUGCUCAGAAACCAGAUGGCACUGAAGACAGCUCACGUUUGAAGUGAGCACAGGGUGGCAGCUGCUCCCUGCAGUGUUUUCCUGCUCGGGUCAGUCUCUCCUGGGGAAGCAAUGACAGAAACUAGGCCAGAUGGUGCGGGAGAGAGAGAGAGAGACAGAGCGGGCCGCUCUCAACCUGACCAACUGCACCACAUUCAAGGCUUUGAUCUAAAAUUGGCCUCUGUAGAAGACUUGUGUACAGUCAUUUUCAUAUGGGCUUUGAACAUAUUGAAAGGGCUCAUAGCUGCCGUCGCUUUUAUCCUCUGAUUCCUUUUCCCUUGGAAACGACGAGCAUAUGGCAAACACCCUCACUGGAUUCUCAGACAACGGGAGGGACCGUAUUCCGAUUCCUGCAUCCUGUCAUCGGCGAAUCCCAGGGUGCUACCCGAACCCUCCCUCCCGCGCACACGCAGCACAAACACACCGUCUCCUCCAGACUUUGAAAUGCGCUCUGCAUUUGUCUGACAUCCUUAAACUGGAACACAAUGCUCUAAUCUCUCUCUCAUUUUACCUUGUUUUUACCUGAACUCACUUGCUUUUGAUUCUAC